rnacentral:lncRNA from 1 species
AGAAACCGACAUCUUUUCUUCUGAAAUAGUCCAUCUUUCUACUGUCGGUACUUCCUUUUUCAUAACUUUUUCCUCGAUGAUCAUUGGUGUAGGUUUUGCUGAUGGGAUUUUCUUGGUAACCUCAGCCUGUUUGAGUUUUUCCUCUGCAACCCUCUGAGUGGUAAUCUCAACUUUUUCAUCAACAGGUUUCUUGACAACUUUAUGAACUGUAACUUCUUUCUUUUCUUUCUUUUCAGCUGUAAUUGCUGGAGGCUUUCGCUCAGGCACAGGCUUCUUAGGAACUUCCACCACUUCUUCAUGAAUGAUUUGUUCUUCUUCAUAAGCCACCUCUCUUUUAUCGUAAGUUUCUUCCCAUUCCUCUUCCCCUUCAUCAUAACCUUCUUCUUUGAAAUAAUAAUCAUGGUCUUCUCCAUAAUCUUCUUCCCAUUCUUCAUAAACUUUUUUGGGCUUUUCAUAUAUUUCCAUUUUUUCUUCAUGUAUCUCUUCUCUCCUUGCCAUAGAUGUUAUUUUGACCUCUUUGGGCUUCUCUGGCAGUAUCUCAGGAACUUAAAAAACAAAACAAACCAACCAUGUUACCAUCAUAGCCUGGAAUCUACAAAGUGUAUUGGAUGUUCACAGUUAGUGAAAUUAGUUCUUCCUUGCAAAUAGCGUUAUGUGAGGUUUUUUUAAAUAAGAUCUGUAAGAUUUAACAUAAACACAGAAAUCAAAGAGACAUCUGUUCCAGAAAAUAAUUUUACUAUUUUAAAGAGAGUAUUUGUUGUGUUGUUUUUUUUUUUUAAGUUACCUUCAGGUGGUGGGAUUUCC